rnacentral:rRNA from 1 species
GUUUCCUACGGGAGGCAGCAGUGGGGAAUAUUGCGCAAUGGGCGAAAGCCUGACGCAGCGACGCCGCGUGAGGGAUGAAGGUUUUCGGAUCGUAAACCUCUGUCAGAAGGGAAGAAAGUGCGUGGUGCUAAUCAGCAGUGAAUUGACGGUACCUGCAAAGGAAGCACCGGCUAACUCCGUGCCAGCAGCCGCGGUAAUACGGAGGGUGCGAGCGUUAAUCGGAAUUACUGGGCGGAAAGCGCUCGUAGGCGGGAUGUCAAGUCAAGGGUGAAAUCCCCGGGCUCAACGUGGGAACUGCCUUUGAA